AAAUUAAAAUUGUGCGAGCCGUAGUGAAUGAAUUUUACUUCCGCGUAUUGGUCUAAAACGUUACGUUCGUCCGUAAAACUAGCCACACCUUUUCUCUUUAAGUAGGUAUCAGGCCGUACGUUAGUGGAAAAGUCCAAUCAUUGUUGUGGUCUUUUUUUUAUUAAAUUGUCGAAAAUUUUGGAAAACCAUUUCCAACACACUUACAUAUUGACUGUGACGGGCGCCAAAAUUAGCCGCUGUAAUGAAUAAAUUACCGUUGAACAAUGUG